rnacentral:rRNA from 1 species
UACGUAGGGGGCAAGCGUUGUCCGGAUUCAUUGGGCGUAAAGAGCGUGUAGGCGGCCAGGUAGGUCGGUUGUGAAAACUGGAGGCCCAACCUUCAGAGGUCGACCGAAACCAUCUGGCUAGAGUCCGGGAGAGGGAUGCGGAAUUCCAGGUGUAGCGGUGAAAUGCGUAGAUAUCUGGAGGAACACCGGUGGCGAAGGCGGCAUCCUGGACCGGCAUUGACGCUGAGGCGCGAAAGCCAGGGAGCAAAGCGGG